rnacentral:rRNA from 1 species
CGGAGUCGCUGGUCAGCCUUCGUGAACUGUAAAACAUGUGNUGCAACCCCCGUUCUCAGCUCCUGUUGUGAAAUGAUGGGUUAAGUCCCGCAACGAGCGCAACCCUUAUCCUUGUUUGCCAGCACUUCGGGUGGGAACUCCAGGGAGACUGCCGGUGAUAAACCGGAGGAAGGUGGGGACGACGUCAAGUCAUCAUGGCCCUUACGAGUAGGGCUACACACGUGCUACAAUGGCGCAUACAGAGGGCGGCCAACUUGCGAAAGUGAGCGAAUCCCAAAAAGUGCGUCGUAGUCCGGAUUGGAGUCUGCAACUCGACUCCAUGAAGUCGGAAUCGCUAGUAAUCGUGGAUCAGAAUGCCACGGUGAAUACGUUCCCGGGCCUUGUACACACCGCCCGUCACACCAUGGGAGUGGGCUGCAAAAGAAGUGGGUAGUUUAACCUUCGGGAGGACGCUCACCACUUUGUGGUUCAUGACUGGGGUGAAGUCGUAACAAGGUAACCG